rnacentral:rRNA from 1 species
GAUGAACGCUGGCGGCGUGCCUAAUACAUGCAAGUCGAGCGAACAGACGAGGAGCUUGCUCCUCUGACGUUAGCGGCGGACGGGUGAGUAACACGUGGAUAACCUACCUAUAAGACUGGGAUAACUUCGGGAAACCGGAGCUAAUACCGGAUAAUAUAUUGAACCGCAUGGUUCAAUAGUGAAAGACGGUUUUGCUGUCACUUAUAGAUGGAUCCGCGCCGCAUUAGCUAGUUGGUAAGGUAACGGCUUACCAAGGCGACGAUGCGUAGCCGACCUGAGGGGGUGAUCGGCCACACUGGAACUGAGACACGGUCCAGACUCCUACGGGAGGCAGCAGUAGGGAAUCUUCCGCAAUGGGCGAAAGCCUGACGGAGCAACGCCGCGUGAGUGAUGAAGGUCUUCGGAUCGUAAAACUCUGUUAUUAGGGAAGAACAAAUGUGUAAGUAACUAUGCACGUCUUGACGGUACCUAAUCAGAAAGCCACGGCUAACUACGUG